UACGUAGGUGGCGAGCGUUGUCCGGAUUUAUUGGGUUUAAAGGGUGCGUAGGCGGCCUAUUAAGUCAGUGCUGAAAUAUCCCGGCUUAACCGGGAGGGUGGCAUUGAUACUGAUGGGCUUGAGUACAGAUGAGGUAGGCGGAAUUGACGGUGUAGCGGUGAAAUGCAUAGAUAUCGUCAAGAACACCGAUAGCGAAGGCAGCUUACUAAGUUGUAACUGACGCUGAGGCACGAAAGUGUGGGGAUCAAACAGG
rnacentral:rRNA from 1 species